GGAUCUGUUGUGUCAUGGCGCUCACCAGUCCUGUGCACAAGGUGCAGGAGGUUUGAAAUAUUUUACUUUUUUGGCUUUUCUACAAACAUUUUCAGUGGUGACAUUCGAAUUGGUUCGUUGAAAGAUCGAUAAGCGCAUCAGGAAUGGAAUAAAUGUCAUAACUAUACUCUACUAGACAAAACUUCCUUGCUCUUACCCAGCGGCCCAAGCACGCUGAACGUUACAUCGAACCUGCGUUGAGCGUGGUUUAGACAUUCUUGUUGUGCUCACUGGCAUGUGUGUUCUCGUGCUCUUCUGCGACACGCCGGUCGUCCCAGCAUCUGACACAAGUGACAAUACACCCUCGACUGCAUGCAAACUGUAUGCCACAAUUAGGUUUUCUGCCUGGACACUCCUCGUGAAAGAGGGAUGGACAACCU